GGGCGGAUAGCCUAGCUCGGACAAGGCAUUGGCUUCCGGAGCCAAAGAUCGCGGGUUCGAAUCCCGUUCCGCCCG
rnacentral:tRNA from 1 species